CACGUAGGGCGCGAGCGUUGUCCGGAAUUAUUGGGCGUAAAGGGCUCGUAGGCGGCGUGUCGCGUCGGGAGUGAAAGCCCGCUGCUUAACGGCGGGUUGGCUUCCGGUACGGGCAUCGCUGGAGUGCGGCAGGGGAGACUGGAAUUCCUGGUGUAGCAGUGAAAUGCGUAGAUAUCAGGAGGAACACCGAUGGCGAAGGCAGGUCUCUGGGCUGACACUGACGCUCAUGCACGAAAGCGUGGGGAGCAAACAGG
rnacentral:rRNA from 1 species